rnacentral:lncRNA from 1 species
AUGCCCUCUUUGAGCACGUACAAGUAUACACACAAAUACCACACACACAUCACACACACACAAAUACCACACACACACACACACACACACAAAUACACACCACACACACACACAAAUACCACACACACAUCACACACACACAAAUACCACACACACAUCACACACACACAAAUACACACACCACACACACACAAAUACCACACACACAUCACACACACAAAUACCACACACACAUCACACACACACACACACACACACACAGAUACCAUACACACACACACACAAAUACCACACACACAUCACACACACAGAAAUACCACACACACACAGACACACACACAGACACACACACAAAUACACACACCACACACACACACCACACACACACAUCACACACACAAAUACCACACACACAGACACACACACAGACACACACACAAAUACACACACCACACACACACAAAUACCACACACACAUCACACACACACAAAUACCACACACACACACAAAUACACACACCACACACACACAAAUACCACACACAUAUCACACACACACACACAGAUACCAUACACACACACACAAAUACCACACACACAUCACACACACAGAAAUACCACACACACACAGACACACACACAGACACACACACAAAUACCACACACACCGCACACACCACACACAAAUACCACACACAUACACAUCACACACACACAAAUACACACACAGAGAGACACACACACACACAGAUACCAUACACACACACACACAAAUACCACACACACACAGACACACACACACAAAAAUACACACCCCCCACACACACAAAUACCACACACACAUCACACACACACACACAAAUACCACACACACACACACACACACACACAGAUACCAUACACACACACACAAAUACCACACACACACAAAUACACACACAGAGACACACACACACACACACACACACACCACACAAAUACCACACACACAAAAAUACCACACACACACACAGACACACACACAAAAAUACCACACACACACACACACACACACACACAAAUUAA